CCUACGGGGGGCUGCAGUGGGGAAUAUUGGACAAUGGGGGGAACCCUGAUCCAGCCAUGCCGCGUGUGUGAAGAAGGCCCUCGGGUUGUAAAGCACUUUCAGUGAGGAAGAACGCCUGGUGGUUAAUACCCAUCAGGAAAGACAUCACUCACAGAAGAAGCACCGGCUAACUCCGUGCCAGCAGCCGCGGUAAUACGGAGGGUGUGAGCGUUAAUCGGAAUUACUGGGCGUAAAGCGCGCGUAGGUGGCUUGAUAAGCCGGUUGUGAAAGCCCCGGGCUCAACCUGGGAACGGCAUCCGGAACUGUCAAGCUAGAGUGCAGGAGAGGAAGGUAGAAUUCCCGGUGUAGCGGUGAAAUGCGUAGAGAUCGGGAGGAAUACCAGUGGCGAAGGCGGCCUUCUGGACUGACACUGACACUGAGGUGCGAAAGCGUGGGUAGCAAACAGGAUUAGAUACCAGAGUAGUC
rnacentral:rRNA from 1 species